GUUUGCGUUGUUUCCCGAAGGAACUAUACCAGACAUUCUGCGCCAUUAAAAUAGAUAUGAAAUGUAUUUUAAGUACAUUCCCAGUAGCAUGAUUUUAAAAAUGCGCGAAUAUGCUAGAAAAAACAGCUCGCCCAUCUACUCGAAUACAUUCGUAGGAAAAACCAUCUGACCGACCAACGUGAAACGCGAAACGUUAAAAAAGAUAGUACGAGAAAUACCAAAGAACCUGAGAAGUUUUGGUUCAAAUUGAAUGCCCCAUGUUUCUACGAUAUUAAGUGGAUCGGUAAACAGUGGAUCGUUGCAGUCCUUUGGACAGGUAACGUCUUUGACGGUAAUCGAUUCAGCUGAUACUGCUGUGGCAUGAAAAAAUUAUACCAAAGGUAGAAGCAAAACGAAUAAAAGAGAUUUGCCAUUUCAUUAAUCAAUAAACUAUUAUAAUGCCAUCA